CGUAUAUAAAUUCUUUGGUCCGUCGAACAUUCUUCCACUCUAAUUCAAAACCUCAUACACCAGAAAUGGCGACCACUAAGCCUAAGCACAAGCACCGGGAAGAGGAAGAGGAAGAGGAAGAAGAAGUUGCCGGAGCCGAUGAUGAAGAUACCGGAGCUCAGGUGGCUCCAAUUGUCAGACUCGAAGAAGUUGCUGUAUCAACUGGAGAGGAAACUGAAGAUCCCGUCAUUGACUUGAAAGCCAAGCUUUAUAGGUUUGAUAAAGAUGGGAAUCAGUGGAAAGAGAGAGGUGCUGGAACUGUGAAGCUAUUGAAGCAUAAGGAAACUGGCAAAGUUCUAAUUUCAUUGAGUAGCUUGAGUGAGGAAAGAGAUUUAUCUCCAGUUCCCCCAACGAUGACGGUUCAGGAACAUGCUAGAAAUGAGAAGUCUUGCGUGUGGCAUGCACCAGAUUUUGCUGAUGGUGAACUGAAAGAUGAGCUUUUUUGCCUCAGAUUUGCAUCUAUCGAGAAUUGCAAAUCCUUCAUGGCGAUGUUUCAAGAGGUGCUGAAUCACAAAAGAAAGAGGAAAGUGAAGAUGGAUCUACUGCUGCCGGACUGCUUGAACAGUUAAGUGUUAAAGAUAAAAAGUCAGAAGAGAAAAGCGAGGAGAAAGCCGAAGACAAAACCAAGGAAGGGGAUGGUAAGGAGGAGAAACCCAAAGACAAGGAGACAGAGAAAAAGGACUAAAAGGCUACAGCGUGAGGGUUAUGCAGGCCAUGUUAAUACGCCUGUAGUUUUGAGGUUUGUAAUGCCAUUUCUUUGCCAACCAAGUUGGUUGUAUUGUUGGUCCAGUGCAAGAAGUGGCUAAAGGGAUUCUCUGGGUUUUUUUUCCGGCUGGGGUUAUUCGUACCCAGGAAGUGUUUGGUUUUAACGUUUGGAGAAACUUUGAGUCUUGGUUUUAAGGUCGGGUCUUGUAUUCUGGUUGAGGUAUUUGUCGAGUGGGAGUAACAAUAGGUCUUGCUGGUGUUAUUUCUUAAUGCAAUCUGAGUUCUGAGUCACUUUUU